rnacentral:tRNA from 1 species
GGGAAGGUAGCUCUGCGGUAGAGUGCAUGCCUUGCAAGCAUGAGACCCUGGGUUCGAUUCCUCAGCACCA